GAAUCUUCCACAAUGGACGAAAGUCUGAUGGAGCAACGCCGCGUGAGCGAAGAAGGUCUUCGGAUCGUAAAGCUCUGUUGUAAGGGAAGAAUAAGUACAGUAGUAACUGGCUGUACCUUGACGGUACCUUACGAGAAAGCCACGGCUAACUACGUGCCAGCAGCCGCGGUAAUACGUAGGUGGCAAGCGUUGUCCGGAAUUAUUGGGCGUAAAGCGCGCGCAGGCGGCCUUUUAAGUCUGAUGUGAAAGCCCCCGGCUUAACCGGGGAGGGUCAUUGGAAACUGGGAGGCUUGAGUACAGAAGAGGAAAGUGGAAUUCCAAGUGUAGCGGUGAAAUGCGUAGAGAUUUGGAGGAACACCAGUGGCGAAGGCGACUUUCUGGUCUGUUACUGACGCUGAGGCGCGAAAGCGUGGGGAGCAAACAGG
rnacentral:rRNA from 1 species